UUAUUUAGCAAUGCUUUUAAACUAUCCAUUAACCAAACCAAUUAUACAUUCUUUAUUUUAUAUUUUCGGCCCUAUAGUUAUUCAGCCCAAAAUGCUCAGCUACCGUCUCUUCCCUGCCCUCUCCUUGAUCGCCGGUUACUACCGUCCACAACUGUUCACACCUAAACUUACAGCAACCAUUAAUUGCUUCCCCAAAGCAUUGAAUCCUUAACAUAAAUCCCAUCGCCGUUCUUCUUCCCCUCCCUCUUAUAUAUAUAUAUAUAAUAACCUUAUGAAUCCAUUCAAGCCCUACUUCUCCGCUUUUCAACCCAAACGGAUCAUAACAAUGGCUUCCAAUCAAUCGGGAGGCAAAUUUUCCCUCUCCCUAACGUGUGGCUUCUCCUCUAGCUCUAUACAAAUUUUAGUAACAGCAAGAUAAGUUAAUAGACGGCGGGAGUGGUAGAGAGGGUUAACGCUGCGGAGUCAAGAGACGUGUACCAAAAUUAUAGCAGGUUGUGCACAUGACGAGAAGAGCAAAGAUGAAAAUUUGUUGUCUGGGAUUCGGACGUUUUUGGCGUCUGUGUCGGUCAGAGUGUUUAGAGUGUUUAUCUAACAAAGAUGAAAAUUUGUAUUUCAUCUACUUGCCCCCAGAAACUUAUCGGCCAAGUAAAAAUCGUAUGCUAUUAUCGAAGGUAAGCAAUUGGUCAGGGAUGUCUUACUCAGAUUAUGUUUAAAAAGUUUUGUGCUUCUAUAUUCUGUUCAAAAUUCAGGUUAACUAAUGUUCUGUCUUACGAAAUUUUUUAUCAAGAAAACAACCCAUGGUCA